rnacentral:tRNA from 1 species
AAAGAAAGUAGUUAAACUCUACUAUUAAGGA